rnacentral:lncRNA from 13 species
UGUAAUUGUGCAAAGUGUACCAUUUAAAUUUACUUUUAAAAUGUAACUUAAAACUUUUUUUCCAUAGCUUACAAGUUUGACUAAGCAGAAAAUAUGAAGAUACUUAUACUUGGACAAUUGAGCAGUUACUCCUCCCUGUCAGGAACAUGAGGAGUGAUGAAAUAAAUGGCUAAGGAUUGACAGGACCCUGGUUUUUGUAUGUCAUCAGACAUUUAUCUCACCAUUAGAUCCUCUCUGAUUGGAAGACAAAGUCCAUCUUCCUUAGAAUGUUGUACAGAGACCAUCCACCUUCAGAUGAUCAUGCAACAAAGAUUCCAGCAAGUUCCAGGUGAAGACACCACACCUCACCAUCAAGAAGCUACCUUGUCUCCACUAGACAGAGGAGGAUAAAAUUCAUCCAUUGCCCUGGCUUUAUGUAAUGUUACACUCUUAUGUUUACCUUCAUAUGUCAGUGUCAAUCUUCUUUUGAACAAAGUGCUUCUUCACACAUAAAACGUGAAUACUAAUGUGCAUGUGUUGCCAAAAACCUUCAGAAAAACCUUGUACCACUUCAAUUUGAAUUCCUGGAGAAAUGAGUUGUUGAUUCCCCAUACCAAUUCCAACAAAAAAUGUCAUCUGCUUUAUUUUGUAAUUCAAUACAGAAAAAUAAAUUUGAUUGUUUCAUUUUUCUUUCU